rnacentral:lncRNA from 10 species
AUUUCCUUAAGUAAAAUGUAUUUAACACCGUAUAAGAGUUGUCAAAUAAGCAUUAGCAUACAAAUUUAAGAUAACAGAAACUUGUUCAGAUUCAAGUUGAGUGCAGAUCUCUACUUCUCAGAGACAAGUUGGGGAGUCUUUGCAUGGUUUCCUGGAUGGCCUAUCUCGCUUUCACUGCAGCUGUAUGCAAGAAAAGGAUCACGAGAGAGUCCUUAGUAAAUGUUUCUUAAGCUGCACUGGCCAUGAAGUAGCAUGAUAGCAUGAAAAUAGCAAAGAGGACACAGAAAGUCAAGUGGAUGUCAUAGAAAAAUUGGGAGCACAUGAACUUCUGCAGUGGCCCAUUCCUUCUGCAAAGGAGCUGCUGUUCCCUGCCACACAGGGCAAGCACAGGACAUGACUAUGUGUCUGCAGCAUGCAAGACCACCAUUGUCUGAACUCAACUUACACUGCAGUAGAGAUGGGAUUUCACCGUGUUAGCCAGAAUGGUCUUGAUCUCCUGACCUCGUGAUCCGCCCGCCUCGGCCUCCCAAAGUGGUAGGAUUACAGGCGUGAGCCACUACACCCAGCCAUGGAUUCCCUUUCAACUCGUCACAUACAAGGAAGAGGCUAACUUCAUGGAGGGAUUUUGAAGAAAGGAUGUACAGGGAACAGCAGUGUCUGUCCCACCCACUCCCCCCUUGUGUGAGAGGGCAGCAUCUCGAUCCUACAUCAAGAGCAGGUGGAUGGUGGCCGGAGUCCAAAGUCCACAGCGUCAGUGCUGGCUCUGCUUCUUGUUACCUUUGUGUCCUUUGGCAAGUCACUUCCCCUCUCUGAGGCUCAGUUUCAUUAAAUCCCAAUGCAGACUAAUAAUAAAACAAACAUAAAAAUGCAC